rnacentral:rRNA from 1 species
AAGAUGGCGACCGGCGCACGGGUGAGUAACACGUAUCCAACCUGCCGAUAACUCCGGGAUAGCCUUUCGAAAGAAAGAUUAAUACCGGAUGGCAUACGAAUAUCGCAUGAUAUUUUUAUUAAAGAAUUUCGGUUAUCGAUGGGGAUGCAUUCCAUUAGUUUGUUGGCGGGGUAACGGCCCACCAAGACUACGAUGGAUAGGGGUUCUGAGAGGAAGGUCCCCCACAUUGGAACUGAGACACGGUCCAA